CUGGUUUAAUGGUGCCACACUUGGCCUUAUAUGACAAUCCCCAUGCAAGGGGUACGCCCACAUGGAUCUUGUUGUGGACUACAAUACAAAAUUACAAACCAAUAAUGACAGAGUUACAAUGUAGGACACUCCCAUAGUAAACAUACAGUCCCUCCCCUCUGCCUGGGAGAUAAUUGGGUCAGAUACAUAAUUAUCUCCAGGCAGAAAAAAAACCAAAAGUACCCCAAAAACACAUAAUGUCUCCACUACUGUUACAUCCCCUGAUAGCCCUGAUCUGGAUGACCACAUAUCCAGAAAUCACUCAGAUCAGUUCAGAGGUUCAGGAAUUUUAUUUUAAGUAAGCACAGUACCCUCUAGGUGGGUGUCCCGACAGACACUGCUGCCAGAUUAUCCAAGAGGACACCGGGAUAUGGACAUCUAACUGUGAUUGGAGGGGUGAAGACCCUACACUUCAUGCCCUGAAGGGCAAAGUUUUUAUGAGAAUUCCCGGGAACGCAAUUACG